UUCCUAAGAGUUUAUUUAUUUAUUUUAUGUUCACUGUUGUUAUGCCUUGUUGAUUGUAGGCAAUAAAGUUUGAUCCCAACAAUGCAACAUUGUACUCAAACAGGAGCCUUUGUUGGCUUCACAUUGGCGAGGGCGACAAGGCUUUGUUGGACGCUAGUGAAUGCAGAAAAUUGCGGCCUGACUGGCCAAAGGCCUGUUACCGGCAGGGUGCAGCUCUGAUGUUGCUGAAGGUUACAUAGAUGAUACUGUCGGAUGUUUUUUCCUCUUUGUCAGUUUGUCUGCUAGUUAUUUUUGACCGUUAACUUGUGUUCUAUCGUCAGGAUUACGAGGGUGCAAGCGAACAUUUCUUGGAUGGACUCAAGUUGGACCCAGCCAACACUGAGAUGGAGGAUGCAUUACGGAAAGCUUAUGAUGCCAUGAAAGAUGUCUCGAAGCACCAAGGCCUACAAGUGUUGCAGACUUGCAAGGGGAGGGGUGCUGGAUCUGGUCCCUAGGAGUUGUCAUUGGGAUUUUCACCUUUUGAGCUGCGUGUCGUUAAGCGUCUCACCUUUUGCUAGACUUUCAAUUCCUGAACUAAGUAAGCUGUUGAAUUCCUGAACCAAGUAGUCUGUUGGAAAAUCAAGUAAUCUGAUGGGAAUCAAGUAACUCUGUCAUGUUUGCAUGCAUAAAAUAUCUAGCUUGUAUUCUUCGAUUUCUAUUGUCUUUCAUCCCAUUUUAUCUCACGGUCUGGGUGUCCUAAGAGCAUUCAAAGUCAUCCAAAAAAAAAAACACUUGAC